UUUUUCUUUUCUUUUCCAACUUCCCUACCCUCUGGUCCAUUUCAAAAUGCGAUUUUAGGUUUUCCUGUGGCAAACAGAUGAUCACUUUAUUUCAGAGGGAAUAAUUUAAUCCGUGUGAUCCAGAAAGGCUGCUAAAGUAUUAUUUGUUUUGCCUUUUUUUUCUUUAAAUUUUUAUGCUUAAAAAAUCAAUUUGUGCUCAUUAAAAUAAGUCAGUUAGUGGAGAGAUUUUUAAAAAGGCUAAUAAUCCCCCUCACCCCAACCAAGUGGUCAGUGUUAAGGUUAGCCUUCUACACUUUCCCCUGUUCUUUGCAAAUAUAGUCAAACUAUAUGAAUAUAUAUUUUUCCUUCUAUUUUUAUAAAUUAAAAAGAGGCCUAUGAGAUCUACAUAUUAGAUCUGCAUACCCAACCUUUCUUUAAUCUAAUAUGUCAUUAAUUUGUACUUAGGUCAGUACAUAUAUAUGAAAUUCAUUAUUUGAAAGCAGCACAAUAUCUAUAAUCCGUGUGAUUAUAUAGUUUGACUUUUGCACCACUGAUGAACAUUCACUUUGCUUCCAGAAAUUUUGCUAUUACACUAAGCAUUUUUCGUGUAUAUAUAUGAAACAAAAGCAAUAUAUAUAACCAAUAUACAUAUAUAUCUGUAUAUAUGUGUCUAUAAGGUUUAUAUAUGUGUGUAUAUACACACGUAUAUAUAUACACAUGUAUGUAUGCACAUACAUAUGUACACACAGUAUAUAUAAACAUAUGUAUAUACACACGUAUAUAUACACACAUGUAUAUACACACACACACAAAGAUUCUUUUGUUUGUAUUGAGUAAAUUCCUAAAGUGAGACUGCUGCAUCAGGUGUAUGGCAUAUUUUAAAUAUUAAUAGAUACUGACACUUUGCUUUCUAAAAAGUUAUAGCUAUUUGCUUCCACCAGCUGCCAUGUGACAAUUCUAGUUGUUUCCCCUCUACCCACUUCAUUUGCUUACUUGCUGGGCACUUACAUUAAACUGAGUUUUAAACCUAUGGCAAAAGGUAGGAAGAUGAGAUUCAAAGCACAGCUAAGUUUUAUAUUACACAAUUUGAUAAUUUAAUUCCAAUAAUAUAUAAACCCUGAAAUGCCACGGCUGUGAAAGUCCGAAUAGAGUAAGCAAUCAGCAAAUUGUUCAUGUUUUCCCCUGCAAAACACUUAUGUAGACUUGGGAAAGUCUUUUACUAUGUAAGGUGUGUGUGUGUGUGUGUGUGUGUGUGUGUGUGUGUGUGACAUUCACAGAUAAGAUGGGGUGUGUGUGUGUGUGACAUUCACAGAUAAGAUGGCUAUCUUCUUGUUCCUACAGUUUUUUUUAAAGAAGGCAUUUACACACUUGCAGAAUAGUGUAAUAAGAUUUCAUAAAUUCAAAAAUGAAAUGUGCUAUCAUUUAUCUUGGAUUAUAAUAUCUGUGGAGUUUGUUUUUUGUUUUUUGCUUUUUAGGGCCGCACCUGAGAUGUAUGGAGUUCCUUAACCUACUAAGUGAGGCCCGGGAUUGAAUCUAUAUCCUCAUGGAUAUAGUCUGGUUUGUAACACACUGACCAACAACGGGAACGCCCCUAUCUGUGGUUUAAUUGCCUUGUGAAAUGUCUAAAUCGAGAACAAUUAUAGAAUUUUCUUUUUUUUUUUUAAUUCAUAUGACUUUUUUUUUUUU
rnacentral:lncRNA from 1 species